GACGAACGCUGGCGGCGUGCUUAACACAUGCAAGUCGAACGGAAGGGCCCUGCUUUUGUGGGGUGCUCGAGUGGCGAACGGGUGAGUAACACGUGAGUAACCUGCCCUUGACUUUGGGAUAACUUCAGGAAACUGGGGCUAAUACCGGAUAGGAGCUCCUGCUGCAAGGUGGGGGUUGGAAAGUUUCGGCGGUUGGGGAUGGACUCGCGGCUUAUCAGCUCGUUGGUGGGGUAGUGGCUUACCAAGGCUUUGACGGGUAGCCGGCCUGAGAGGGUGACCGGCCACAUUGGGACUGAGAUCCGGCCCAGACUCCUACGGGAGGCAGCAGUGAGGAAUAUUGCACAAUGGGCGGAAGCCUGAUGCAGCAACGCCGCGUGCGGGAUGACGGCCUUCGGGUUGUAAACCGCUUUCGCCUGUGACGAAGCGUGAGUGACGGUAAUGGGUAAAGAAGCACCGGCUAACUACGUG
rnacentral:rRNA from 1 species